CAGAACGAAAUAUUGCCAACCAAUUUGAUACUGUCUGCUGUGUAAUAACAUUAGAAUGAAAUACUUCAUUAAUAUUCUGAGCUGUCUAUGGUGCAAUAU